rnacentral:SRP_RNA from 1 species
GCUGGGCGUGGCAGCGUGCGCCUGUAGUCCCAGCUACUCAGGAGGCUGAGGCAGAAGAAUUGCUUGAACCCAGGAGGCAGAGGUUGCAGUGAGCCGAGAUUGUGCCACUGCACUCCAGCCUGGGCGACAGAGCAAGACUCUGUCUCAA